rfam:Microgenomates (Daviesbacteria) bacterium GW2011_GWC2_40_12 TT77_C0015, whole genome shotgun sequence.
UGGCAGAAGUAAUUCUGUAGCGCUGUUAUAACUUGGAAAUAAAAGUCUUUUUGUAAAUUUACUAGCUAAAAUCGGUGAAGUCCUAAAAGUAAUUGAAGGAUAAUACCGAGGGAAGUCCGACGUUACGUCGGACCCCGUAACGACUUUGGUCCAUUGGACCAUUAUUUAAGGUUCCGGAUAUUCCGGAUUAAAAACUUGAAUAAAAGGCUAGCUCCCGAUGAUACAUCGGGAUGAAGGUAUAGUCUGAUCCUGCAAGUAAUUGCAGA